rnacentral:tRNA from 1 species
GUAGUGGUGGUUUGGUGGUAGAAUUCUCACCUUCCAUGCAGGAGACCUGGGUUCAAUUCCUGGCCAAUGCA